rnacentral:lncRNA from 1 species
UACUUGUUAGUCUGAUUAAUUUUUACCUCCCAUUUUUUUUAUAUAAUUCAGUCAGCAAUUUCAUUAGAAAAAAAAAAUAGUAAAUCAUUCCCUGGAGAGAGAAUGUGAAAACCCUAGUUAUCACGCACUGUGGAAAUCUGGUAUGGUGCGGAUACGAAUUCGGAUCCUUUAUGGAUCCACAGAAUGCCUUGACCACCCGACCACAGACGCGUAGUUAGACUGAAUUUUUUAUAGUGACUAGACUCUACCACAAGCGGUGCCCGAGUCAUAGUACCACCGCGUCGACAGAAUUAAACCUGCGAUCUCUGGCAGUCGUCUGUGAAAAGGGAGACCACUAGGAUACAAGUCAUUCUCAAAACUGUUUUGGGUAGACUUUUUAUAGUGACUAGACCCCACUGCAAGCAGUGCCCGAGUCAUAGUUCUACCGCGCCGAUAGAGAAUCGAACCUGUGACCUCUGGUAGUCGUCUGUGAGAAGAGAGACCACUGGGAUACAAGCCCUUGUCAAAAUUUCAUUAGAAAAUAAAUCUUUAAAUAUAAGGAGUGGCAAGAAAUGGAUAUAUGUAAUAUAUCGGAUUUUUGUUCGGUGAUAUGAUUUUUUUUUUUUUUUGAACUGAUCGAUGAUAUGAUUUUGAUAAAUGAUAAUGCUCGCUAGUACACAAUGAAACUUAAAAUCUUUCAUGAUUCCAAUUUGUAACUUUCGGUGUUUCUAUUAAAUAAGAUUCUGAAAUCUUGAUUGAUUUGGUUUCAUCGUACAUCGUAAUCAUGUUACAGAUUACUGACACAAUAUUCAAUUAGCAUCAUACCUCACCCCUUAAAAAAUG